rnacentral:rRNA from 1 species
AGAGUUUGAUCAUGGCUCAGGAUGAACGCUAGCGGUGUGCCUUAAGCAUGCAAGUCGAGCGCUUGUGCUUCGCACAAGGAUAACGGAUUAACGCUGAUUUUUGGACGGAUUAGUACAGAUUCAUCUGUAAAAAUCUGUUUUUGAUUAGCGGAAAUCAGUGUCCUCGCGCGAAGCGCGAGAGCGGCAGACGGCUGAGUAACACGUAGGUAGCUACCCUUUAGCGGGGGAUAGCCCGCCGAAAGGCGGAGUAAUCCCGCAUAAUCCCCGCCCUUGGUGGGGGAAAGAGCUUAACUGCUCACUAAAGGAGGCGCCUGCGGCCUAUCAGCUUGUUGGUGGGGUAAUGGCCUACCAAGGCAAAGACGGGUAGGGGGCGUGAGAGCGUGGCCCCCCAGAAUGGGACUGAGACACGGCCCAUACACCUACGGGUGGCAGCAACUGGGAAUCUUGCGCUAUGGGCGAAAGCCUGACGCAGCGACACCGCGUGAAGGAUGAAGGCCUUCGGGUUGUAAACUUCUGUUAAAUAGCACCGGCUAACUACGUGCCAGCAGCUGCGGUAAGACGUAGGGUGCAAGCGUUAUCCGGAUUUACUGGGCGUGAAGAGUUCGUAGGCGGAAAGGUAGGUUGUUGGUUAAAGCCCCCGGCUCAACCGGGGAAAAGCUGACAAAACCGCUUUUCUUGUCCUCUGCAGGGGGUGCUGGAACUUACCGUGUAGGAGUGAAAUCCGUUGAUAUGGUAAGGAACGCCAACGGCGAAGGCGGGCACCUGGGCAGUAGGAGACGCUGAGGAACGAAAGCUAGGGGAGCGAACCGGAUUAGAGACCCGGGUAGUCCUAGCCGUAAACGAUGUCCGCUAGUUGCUUGAGAGUAAUCUUAGGUGACGAAAGGUAACCCAUUAAGCGGACCGCCUGGGAAGUACGAUCGCAAGAUUGAAACUCAAAGGAAUUGACGG